rnacentral:rRNA from 1 species
AUUGAACGCUGGCGGCAGGCCUAACACAUGCAAGUCGAGCGGAUGAAGGGAGCUUGCUCCUGGAUUCAGCGGCGGACGGGUGAGUAAUGCCUAGGAAUCUGCCUGGUAGUGGGGGAUAACGUCCGGAAACGGGCGCUAAUACCGCAUACGUCCUGAGGGAGAAAGUGGGGGAUCUUCGGACCUAACGCUAUCUGAUGAGCCUAGGUCGCAUUAGCUAGUUGGUGGGGUAAAGGCCUACCAAGGCGACGAUCCGUAACUGGUCUGAGAGGAUGAUCAGUCACACUGGAACUGAGACACGGUCCAGACUCCUACGGGAGGCAGCAGUGGGGAAUAUUGGACAAUGGGCGAAAGCCUGAUCCAGCCAUGCCGCGUGUGUGAAGAAGGUCUUCGGAUUGUAAAGCACUUUAAGUUGGGAGGAAGGGCAGUAAGUUAAUACCUUGCUGUUUUGACGUUACCAACAGAAUAAGCACCGGCUAACUUCGUG